UUUUAUGGAGAGUUUGAUCCUGGCUCAGGAUGAACGCUGGCGGCGUGCCUAAUACAUGCAAGUCGAGCGAACGGACGAGAAGCUUGCUUCUCUGAUGUUAGCGGCGGACGGGUGAGUAACACGUGGAUAACCUACCUAUAAGACUGGGAUAACUUCGGGAAACCGGAGCUAAUACCGGAUAAUAUUUUGAACCGCAUGGUUCAAAAGUGAAAGACGGUCUUGCUGUCACUUAUAGAUGGAUCCGCGCUGCAUUAGCUAGUUGGUAAGGUAACGGCUUACCAAGGCAACGAUGCAUAGCCGACCUGAGAGGGUGAUCGGCCACACUGGAACUGAGACACGGUCCAGACUCCUACGGGAGGCAGCAGUAGGGAAUCUUCCGCAAUGGGCGAAAGCCUGACGGAGCAACGCCGCGUGAGUGAUGAAGGACUUCGGAUCGUAAAACUCUGUUAUUAGGGAAGAACAUAUGUGUAAGUAACUGUGCACAUCUUGACGGUACCUAAUCAGAAAGCCACGGCUAACUACGUGCCAGCAGCCGCGGUAAUACGUAGGUGGCAAGCGUUAUCCGGAAUUAUUGGGCGUAAAGCGCGCGUAGGCGGUUUUUUAAGUCUGAUGUGAAAGCCCACGGCUCAACCGUGGAGGGUCAUUGGAAACUGGAAAACUUGAGUGCAGAAGAGGAAAGUGGAAUUCCAUGUGUAGCGGUGAAAUGCGCAGAGAUAUGGAGGAACACCAGUGACGAAGGCGACUUUCUGGUCUGUAACUGACGCUGAUGUGCGAAAGCGUGGGGAUCAAACAGGAUUAGAUACCCUGGUAGUCCACGCCGUAAACGAUGAGUGCUAAGUGUUAGGGGGUUUCCGCCCCUUAGUGCUGCAGCUAACGCAUUAAGCACUCCGCCUGGGGAGUACGACCGCAAGGUUGAAACUCAAAGGAAUUGACGGGGACCCGCACAAGCGGUGGAGCAUGUGGUUUAAUUCGAAGCAACGCGAAGAACCUUACCAAAUCUUGACAUCCUUUGACAACUCUAGAGAUAGAGCCUUCCCCUUCGGGGGACAAAGUGACAGGUGGUGCAUGGUUGUCGUCAGCUCGUGUCGUGAGAUGUUGGGUUAAGUCCCGCAACGAGCGCAACCCUUAAGCUUAGUUGCCAUCAUUAAGUUGGGCACUCUAAGUUGACUGCCGGUGACAAACCGGAGGAAGGUGGGGAUGACGUCAAAUCAUCAUGCCCCUUAUGAUUUGGGCUACACACGUGCUACAAUGGACAAUACAAAGGGCAGCGAAACCGCGAGGUCAAGCAAAUCCCAUAAAGUUGUUCUCAGUUCGGAUUGUAGUCUGCAACUCGACUACAUGAAGCUGGAAUCGCUAGUAAUCGUAGAUCAGCAUGCUACGGUGAAUACGUUCCCGGGUCUUGUACACACCGCCCGUCACACCACGAGAGUUUGUAACACCCGAAGCCGGUGGAGUAACCUUUUAGGAGCUAGCCGUCGAAGGUGGGACAAAUGAUUGGGGUGAAGUCGUAACAAGGUAGCCGUAUCGGAAGGUGCGGCUGGAUCACCUCCUUUCUAA
rnacentral:rRNA from 1 species